AACGCACCUUGCGCCCUCUGGUAUUCCGGAGGGCAUGCCUGUUUGAGUGUCAUUAAAUUCUCAACUUCAAAAGUUUUUAUUAACUUUUUGAAGCUUGGAUGUGGGGGUUUGCUGGCGUCUUUAGAUGUUCCGGCUCUCCUUAAAGUUAUUAGUGGGAAUGUCUUUUGUUAGGCGAUCCUUGGUGUGAUAAUUAUCUACACUUUGGAUAGUCUAAUGGUUCCAUUGGGACUAGUUGGUAUUGCGAUUAAGUUUGCUUUACUUGAGUCUCAGAGGAAAAGAUAAGUUCUGCUUUCUAACCGUCUGUGUUACAUGGACAAUUUAUUGACUAUUUGACCUCAAAUCAGGUAGGACUACCCGCUGAACUUAA
rnacentral:misc_RNA from 1 species